AAUCACUUUCACAAAGACCCACUUCAAAUCAAAAAGUUCAUUUCCUCCAAUAUUUCUCUCUCUAAACUCAAAGAAGAAGAAGUCAUAGAAGCUUGGAUUUGGGGAUUUCAGAAGAGUUUCUUCAUCAAUUUUCUUCAAUGUUUCUUAAUAAAGAUUUCGGCAAGAGAUAGAGUUCUCUAGAUUCAAGGGCUUGGGAAGAGUUCUCCAAGACCAAGUGUAUGUCCUCAUGAUGCGGGGACAAGUAUUUAGAAGUUUCUUGUAUUUAAUUCAUAAUAGGUUAUGUCUAGUUUUGUUUAAGUCUUUUGAUUGUGAAGGGUCGUGACCCUAUCUUUAGGUUCCGUGUCUUGGUUAGAUGGCCAUGUGAGAUGUUGGCUUCCGCUAUGAUUUUGAAUGUCGUGUUCUUGAAGUGAAGGGUUUUUAAAUGAAAAGUUUUAAUUCCUAGCCAUUUUUUA